rnacentral:lncRNA from 1 species
UUGCUCGUCUCUGUACCCCAGGGCCUGGUACAGGGCUUGGGACCAAGAAGGAUCUUAGUGGACAGACUGGUGAUAAAUGAGUGAACAGGGAAGCUAUUCAGGUCCAGUCGACGCAUUCUCUACUGGCCUGCUUGCCUGGCCCCGUGCUGGGCACAGAAACCAGGAGUCUGAGAGAUGGCUCCACUCACGUUCAUGGGCAAAGAACCCACUCCCAAAUCCAGGGGCCUGCAGAGGGCCUGGGCUCUGCACUAACCUGUGAUGGGACCGUGGAAAGCCACAGGUCUCCGCUGGGCUUCUCCUCAUCUGCCAGAUCAGCAGCUGGAAGAGUCUAUGCGUGAGUCACGGUGUGGGCCUGAUGCAGACAGCCUGGGUUCGAAUCCUGCCCUGCCGCUUGCUGCUGUGUGACCUCGGGUGAGUUUCUUAACUUCUCUGAGCCUCUGUUUCCCCAUCAGUAAAUGCUGAAGAGAAUCAGUGCCUGUCUCACAGAAUCGUUCUGAAGAUUCCUAGCACCGGUUUUGUGGAAAGUCGGGCCUGUAGAAAGCACAGAAAGUGCAUGCACCGUGAUUAGGUUUUGAUCUGCGUCUACAGGGAUGCGAGGUGCUUGUUGCACACAUCUACAACGUGUGUCAGAGUGGGAGCCUGGGAGUGCUCAGGACUGAGGUUCUGAGGUUCCUCAUGGCACCAAGGACAAGGGCAGCCGGAAACUCCCCGGGCCCCAUCACAGCUCCCUGCUCGCGCAAGCUGGGGAUGUGUGUGCACAGCACACGGACGGGUGUCCGGUCCCUCACAGGCACUCUCUUCCUGGACACACCACCUGCUCUGAGGCAGCCUCCACCUUCCCCUACCACUGGACCCUCCGGGCAGUGGAAUAUCAUUGAGGUCCACGGAAACAGGGUGAUCCCAUCAUGGUGAACUGAGUUUCCACAGAGACCCCCACACACCCUCACACACAUACAUCCUCCCCUAGGGAAGGGUGGCUGGAAAUGAGGUCACAGGACACAUAGGAAGGUUCUGGGAGGCUGAGCGCAGUGGCUCACGCCUGUAAUACCAGCACUUUGGGAGGCCGAGGCGGGCGGAUCAUGAGGUCAAGAGAUCGAGACCAUCCUGGCCAACAUGUUGAAACCCCAUCUCUAAUAAAAUACAAAAAUUAGCCGGGCGUGGUGGCAGGCACCUGUAGUCCCAGCUACUGAGGAGGCUGAGGCAGGAAAAUUGCUUGAACCCGGGAGGCAGAGGUUGCAGUGAGCCAAGAUUACGCCACUGUACUCCAGCCUGGAGUAACAACAGCAAAACUCCAUCUCAAGAAAGAAAAAAAAAAAAGAAGUUUCUGGGGACCACAGCCGGUAAGGGGUUCACUCUCAGCCGGGGCUCCUGCCGCUUAGGGCCUGGGGGAGAAGGCCUCGUUUAAACAGAGAGAGUUUAGUCAUCUUAGUGAUCUCUGUGUCCAGAGCCCAUUGCACAGGGGAAGCUGAGGCCCAGGAAGGCUGAGUGACUUGUCUAAGAUCACACAGCAAUAUAGGAAGAGCCAGCCCUAGAACCCAGGACUCUGGCUUUCUGGCCAUGCCCCUCCCCCACAGAGUGAUGCGUGUCUAGAAAUCACCCCAGUUCUACUUUCCAAAAUGAGUCAAGAACAUCUGUACCUCCGGGACUAAAAAUACUCCCGGGACACCCUAGUAAGAACGCUGACAUCUUUCCGGGUGUCUGAAAACAGAACUGGCCUUCCUAAGAACUAACAACGAUACUGUUUUCAGCCACAUUCCCUUCCUGUUCUUGCUACAUGCUCUGUCAAAUAGGUGGCCAGAGGCCCGGGUGCAGUGGCUCACGUCAGUAAUCCCAGCACUCUGGGAGGCUGGUGGGUGGAUCACUUGAGGCCAGGAGUUCAAGACCAGCUUGGGCAACAUGGUGAAAUCCCGUCUCUACUAAAAGUACGAAAAAUUAGCCGGAUGUAGUGGCGCAAGCCUGUAGUCCCAGUCACUCAGGAGGCUGAGGUGGGAGGAUCGCCUGAGCCCAGGAAGUCAAGAGUGCAGUGAACCAUGAUGGUGCACCACUGCACAGCAGUCUGGGCAACAGGAAUGAGACUCUGUCUCCAAAAAAAUAAAAAAUAAAAA